rnacentral:rRNA from 1 species
GAUGAACGCUGGCGGCGUGCCUAAUACAUGCAAGUCGAGCGAACGGACGAGAAGCUUGCUUCUCUGAUGUUAGCGGCGGACGGGUGAGUAACACGUGGAUAACCUACCUAUACGACUGGGAUAACUUCGGGAAACCGGAGCUACUACCGGAUAAUAUUUUGAACCGCAUGGUUCAAAAGUGAAAGACGGUCUUGCUGUCACUUAUAGAUGGAUACGCGCUGCAUUAGCUAGUUGGUAAGGUAACGGCUUACCAAGGCAACGAUGCAUAGCCGACCUGAGAGGGUGGUCGGCCACACGGGAACUGAGACACGGUCCAGACUCCUACGGGAGGCAGCAGUAGGGAAUCUUCCGCGAUGGGCGAAAGCCUGACGGAGCAACGCCGCGUGAGUGAUGAAGGUCUUCGGAUCGUAAAACUCUGUUAUUAGGGAAGAACAUAUGUGUAAGUAACUGUGCACAUCUUGACGGUACCUAAUCAGAAAGCCACGGCUAACUACGUG